GGCGUGCCUAAUACAUGCAAGUCGAGCGAACAGAUGAGAAGCUUGCUUCUCUGAUGUUAGCGGCGGACGGGUGAGUAACACGUGGGUAACCUACCUAUAAGACUGGGAUAACUCCGGGAAACCGGGGCUAAUACCGGAUAAUAUUCUGAACCGCAUGGUUCAAUAGUGAAAGACGGUUUCGGCUGUCACUUAUAGAUGGACCCGCGCCGUAUUAGCUAGUUGGUAAGGUAAUGGCUUACCAAGGCGACGAUACGUAGCCGACCUGAGAGGGUGAUCGGCCACACUGGAACUGAGACACGGUCCAGACUCCUACGGGAGGCAGCAGUAGGGAAUCUUCCGCAAUGGGCGAAAGCCUGACGGAGCAACGCCGCGUGAGUGAUGAAGGUCUUCGGAUCGUAAAACUCUGUUGUUAGGGAAGAACAAAUUUGUUAGUAACUGAACAAGUCUUGACGGUACCUAACCAGAAAGCCACGGCUAACUACGUGCCAGCAGCCGCGGUAAUACGUAGGUGGCAAGCGUUAUCCGGAAUUAUUGGGCGUAAAGCGCGCGUAGGCGGUUUCUUAAGUCUGAUGUGAAAGCCCACGGCUCAACCGUGGAGGGUCAUUGGAAACUGGGAAACUUGAGUGCAGAAGAGGAGAGUGGAAUUCCAUGUGUAGCGGUGAAAUGCGCAGAGAUAUGGAGGAACACCAGUGGCGAAGGCGGCUCUCUGGUCUGUAACUGACGCUGAUGUGCGAAAGCGUGGGGAUCAAACAGGAUUAGAUACCCUGGUAGUCCACGCCGUAAACGAUGAGUGCUAAGUGUUAGGGGGUUUCCGCCCCUUAGUGCUGCAGCUAACGCAUUAAGCACUCCGCCUGGGGAGUACGACCGCAAGGUUGAAACUCAAAUGAAUUGACGG
rnacentral:rRNA from 1 species